rnacentral:rRNA from 1 species
AACGUAGGUUCCGAGCGUUAUCCGGAUUUACUGGGCGUAAAGCGCGUUCAGGCGGUUUGGCAAGUCGGGCAUGAAAUCUCUCGGCUCAACCGGGAGAGGUUGUCCGAUACUGCUGGACUUGAGGGCAGUAGAGGGUGGUGGAAUUCCGGGUGUAGUGGUGAAAUGCGUAGAUAUCCGGAGGAACACCAGUGGCGAAAGCGGCCACCUGGACUGUACCUGACGCUCAAACGCGAAAGCUAGGGGAGCGAACGGG